GUGUCAGCAGCCGCGGUAAGACGAAGGGGGCUAGCGUUGUUCGGAAUUACUGGGCGUAAAGCGAGUGUAGGUGGUUGUCAUAGUCAGGUGUGAAAGCCUUGAGCUCAACUCAAGAAAUGCACUUGAUACUAGGCGACUAGAGGACCGGAGAGGAUAGUGGAAUUCCCAGUGUAGUGGUGAAAUACGUAGAGAUUGGGAAGAACACCAGUGGCGAAGGCGGCUAUCUGGACGGUUUCUGACACUAAGACUCGAAAGCGUGGGGAGCAAACAGGAUUAGAUACCCUGGUAGUCCACGCCGUAAACGAUGGGUGCUAGACGUUGGCGGGCUUGCUCGUCAGUGUCGCAGCUAACGCGUUAAGCACCCCGCCUGGGGAGUACGGCCGCAAGGUUGAAACUUAAAUGAAUUGACGGGG
rnacentral:rRNA from 1 species